rnacentral:rRNA from 1 species
GCGCGCGCAGGCGGUUUCUUAAGUCUGAUGUGAAAGCCCCCGGCUCAACCGGGGAGGGUCAUUGGAAACUGGGGAACUUGAGUGCAGAAGAGGAGAGUGGAAUUCCACGUGUAGCGGUGAAAUGCGUAGAGAUGUGGAGGAACACCAGUGGCGAAGGCGACUCUCUGGUCUGUAACUGACGCUGAGGCGCGAAAGCGUGGGGAGCGAACAGGAUUAGAUACCCUGGUAGUCCACGCCGUAAACGAUGAGUGCUAAGUGUUAGAGGGUUUCCGCCCUUUAGUGCUGCAGCAAACGCAUUAAGCACUCCGCCUGGGGAGUACGGUCGCAAGACUGAAACUCAAAGGAAUUGACGGGGGCCCGCACAAGCGGUGGAGCAUGUGGUUUAAUUCGAAGCAACGCGAAGAACCUUACCAGGUCUUGACAUCCUCUGACAACCCUAGAGAUAGGGCUUCCCCUUCGGGGGCAGAGUGACAGGUGGUGCAUGGUUGUCGUCAGCUCGUGUCGUGAGAUGUUGGGUUAAGUCCCGCAACGAGCGCAACCCUUGAUCUUAGUUGCCAGCAUUCAGUUGGGCACUCUAAGGUGACUGCCGGUGACAAACCGGAGGAAGGUGGGGAUGACGUCAAAUCAUCAUGCCCCUUAUGACCUGGGCUACACACGUGCUACAAUGGGCAGAACAAAGGGCAGCGAAGCCGCGAGGCUAAGCCAAUCCC